rnacentral:rRNA from 1 species
ACGGGGUGCAGCAGGCGCGAAAACUCCGCAAUGCACGAAAGUGUGACGGGGCUACCCCGAGUGCCGUCCGCUGAGGAUGGCUUUUCCUCGGUGUAACUAGCCGGGGGAAUAAGGAGAGGGCAAGACUGGUGUCAGCCGCCGCGGUAAUACCAGCUCUCCGAGUGGUAGGGAUGAUUAUUGGGCUUAAAGCGUCCGUAGCCGGCUUAGCAAGUCUCCUGUUAAAUUCAGCGACCUAAUCGUUGAGCCGCGGGAGAUACUACUAGGCUAGGAGGCGGGAGAGGCCGACGGUACUUCCGGGGUAGGGGUGAAAUCCUAUAAUCCCGGGCGGACCACCAGUGGCGAAGGCUGUCGGCUAGAACGCGCUCGACGGUGAGGGACGAAAGCUGGGGGAGCGAACCGGAUUAGAUACCCGGGUAGUCCCAGCCGUAAACGAUGCGGGCUAGGUGUUGGGGUGGCUACGUGCCACUUCAGUGCCGCAGGGAAGCCAUUAAGCCCGCCGCCUGGGGAGUACGGCCGCAAGGCUGAAACUUAAAGGAAUUGGCGGGGGAGCACCACAAGGCGUGAAGCUUGCGGUUCAAUUGGAGUCAACGCCGGGAACCUUACCGGGGGCGACAGCAGGAUGAAGGCCAGAUUGAAGGUCUUGCUGGACAAGCUGAGAGGAG